rnacentral:rRNA from 1 species
GACGCAGGGCGCGAGCGUUGUCCGGAUUUAUUGGGCGUAAAGAGCUCGUAGGCGGCUCGUUGCGUCGGCUGUGAAAACCCGCAGCUCAACUGUGGGCUUGCAGCUGAUACGGGCGGGCUGGAGUUCGGUAGGGGAGACUGGAAUUCCUGGUGUAGCGGUGAAAUGCGCAGAUAUCAGGAGGAACACCGGUGGCGAAGGCGGGUCUCUGGGCCGAUACUGACGCUGAGGAGCGAAAGCGUGGGGAGCGAACAGG